rnacentral:rRNA from 1 species
GACGAAGGGGGCUAGCGUUGUUCGGAAUUACUGAGCGUAAAGCGCGUGUAGGCGGUUGUCCAAGUUGGAUGUGAAAGCCUUGAGCUUAACUCAAGAAAUGCAUUCAGGACUGGAUGACUAGAGGACCGGAGAGGGUAGUGGAAUUCCCGGUGUAGUGGUGAAAUGCGUAGAUAUCGGGAGGAACACCAGUGGCGAAGGCGACUACCUGGCCCAUUCUUGACGCUGAGGCGCGAAAGCUAGGGGAGCGAACGGG